rnacentral:tRNA from 1 species
CUCGGGGAUAGAAUGAGAAUAAAUCGGAAUCAUAAUCCGCGUGUCGGGGGUUCAAGUCCCUCCUCCGCUACCA